GGGGGGGGGGGGAGAGGCGGGGGGGAGGAUUAGAGGAACCCAUACUCUGGGUGCUCUUAGGGACAGUGGCCAGAGAGCAGAUCCCCAACCCACGCUGUCCUUCAUCCAGGUCAGCCCACCCCUCCAUUCCUCUCCUUUCCCAGAAUCUGUCCUCCACUCCACACCCACCCAGUACCACCCUUUGGGUUUUCUGGAUUAUUCAGGCUGUGCUCUACCCAGGGGGAUUGAAUGGUGACUGGUCUGAGUGUUUCAGUCUGCCUGCUCCCCGAGCUUUCACACGCUGGUCUGUCUACCCCACCUCCCCACCCCUGGCCGCCCUUCUCCAGGCAGUGCCCCGCCCAUCUGAGACUCCUAGCUGAGCCUUCCUUCCUAGAGGGAGGAAGAAGGACCGUUUCCUUCUGCAACCCACACCCACCCAGCUCUGGGUUACGCAACACCGGCCAUCUCAUUCUUUCCUAAAACAACGGCUCUGGGCAGUGACUAAGUUUAAAUUCUGGUCCUCCAAGCAAGAAUGUAAGCAAGGCCUUCCUGAACUUUUAGCUCCAUCUUGCUGCUUCUGAAUAAGAUGGAAAGGUCUGUGGAAAGUUGAGAUGGGGAAGAGUUGGCCAUACUCCCUGCAGGAUCCCAGUGUGGCUUUUUAAAGAAGUUUGUAUUCUUUGGUAGGUUAUAUUGCAGAGAAGCCCAAUACUCUGCUAGCCUCUCACAUCUACCGCUGCCUUCCCGAAUUCCCCCUUCCCCCUCCCACAUCACCACCGCCACCCUUACAGAUUUCCCCUGUUUACUGCUACCCCCUGCCCAGCUUGGUCCCUCCACGCAGUCUAAGUACAGCCAUGGCACAGCCCAGUCCCACCCGCCACCCCAGCACUGCUCUUGCCUCGACCCCACGCCUCCAGUAUGGAUGUCCAGAGCGGCGAGCUGUGCUGUCAGUGCUGGGGUCUAACCAGGCUCUUUCUUGCAGACUGAGACUCUUGAACUCUACUUUCCCUCCCUUUGGGAUGCCCUUCACCUCAGCACCCAGAGCAGAGGUAGGAAGCGCAUGGUGCGUGCUCAGGAUGGAGUGUGGGCCAAGGUGCACACACUCUGGGACUCUGUCUGGCCUCUGUGGAGAGAAGAGUUUGAGGAAAGCUUCUGUCAGGGCUGUGAAAAGGCUAAACAGCUGGGGCUGUUACUUAGGCUUUUUAUUUUUAUUUAUUUUUUAUUUAUUUAUUUUUGUUGUUGUUUUUUUGCAGUACGCGGGCCUCUCACUGCUGUGGCCUCUCUGUUGCGGAGCACAGGCUCCGGACGCGCAGCCUCAGCGGCCAUGGCUCACGGGCCCAGCCGCUCCGCGGCAUGUGGGAUCUCCCCGGUUCGGAUCUUCACGAACCCGCGUCCCCUGCAUCAGCAGAUGGACUCUCAACCACUGCGCCACCAGGGAAGCCCUUUAGGCUUUUUAUAAAUAAACUUUGACAGGACUUCCUUCUCCUCUUGCA